rnacentral:rRNA from 1 species
AGAGUUUGAUCCUGGCUCAGGACGAACGCUGGCGGCGCGCCUAACACAUGCAAGUCGAACGGAGUCGAGAGGAGCUUGCUUUUCUUGACUUAGUGGCGAACGGGUGAGUAACGCGUGAGUAACCUGCCCUGGAGUGGGGGACAACAGUUGGAAACGACUGCUAAUACCGCAUAAGCCCACGGCCCGGCAUCGGGCUGCGGGAAAAGGAUUUAUUCGCUUCAGGAUGGACUCGCGUCCAAUUAGCUAGUUGGUGAGGUAACGGCCCACCAAGGCGACGAUUGGUAGCCGGACUGAGAGGUUGAACGGCCACAUUGGGACUGAGACACGGCCCAGACUCCUACGGGAGGCAGCAGUGGGGGAUAUUGCACAAUGGGGGAAACCCUGAUGCAGCGACGCCGCGUGGAGGAAGAAGGUUUUCGGAUUGUAAACUCCUGUCGUUAGGGACGAUAAUGACGGUACCUAACAAGAAAGCACCGGCUAACUACGUGCCAGCAGCCGCGGUAAAACGUAGGGUGCAAGCGUGUCCGGAAUUACUGGGUGUAAAGGGAGCGCAGGCGGACCGGCAAGUUGGAAGUGAAAACUGUGGGCUCAACCCAUAAAUUGCUUUCAAAACUGCUGGCCUUGAGUAGUGCAGAGGUAGGUGGAAUUCCCGGUGUAGCGGUGGAAUGCGUAGAUAUCGGGAGGAACACCAGUGGCGAAGGCGACCUACUGGGCACCAACUGACGCUGAGGCUCGAAAGCAUGGGUAGCAAACAGGAUUAGAUACCCUGGUAGUCCAUGCCGUAAACGAUGAUUACUAGGUGUUGGAGGAUUGACCCCUUCAGUGCCGCAGUUAACACAAUAAGUAAUCCACCUGGGGAGUACGACCGCAAGGUUGAAACUCAAAGGAAUUGACGGGGGCCCGCACAAGCAGUGGAGUAUGUGGUUUAAUUCGAAGCAACGCGAAGAACCUUACCAGGUCUUGACAUCCGAUGCAUAGUGCAGAGAUGCAUGAAGUCCUUCGGGACAUCGAGACAGGUGGUGCAUGGUUGUCGUCAGCUCGUGUCGUGAGAUGUUGGGUUAAGUCCCGCAACGAGCGCAACCCUUAUUGCCAGUUACUACGUAAGAGGACUCUGGCGAGACUGCCGUUGACAAAACGGAGGAAGGUGGGGAUGACGUCAAAUCAUCAUGCCCUUUAUGACCUGGGCUACACACGUACUACAAUGGCGUUUAACAAAGAGAAGCAAGACCGCGAGGUGGAGCAAAACUCAAAAACAACGUCUCAGUUCAGAUUGCAGGCUGCAACUCGCCUGCAUGAAGUCGGAAUUGCUAGUAAUCGCGGAUCAGCAUGCCGCGGUGAGUACGUUCCCGGGCCUUGCACACACCGCCCGUC